GAUGAACGCUGGCGGCGUGCCUAAUACAUGCAAGUCGAGCGAAUGGAUUAAGAGCUUGCUCUUAUGAAGUUAGCGGCGGACGGGUGAGUAACACGUGGGUAACCUGCCCAUAAGACUGGGAUAACUCCGGGAAACCGGGGCUAAUACCGGAUAAUAUUUUGAACUGCAUGGUUCAAAAUUGAAAGGCGGCUUCGGCUGUCACUUAUGGAUGGACCCGCGUCGCAUUAGCUAGUUGGUGAGGUAACGGCUCACCAAGGCAACGAUGCGUAGCCGACCUGAGAGGGUGAUCGGCCACACUGCGACUGAGACACGGCCCAGACUCCUACGGGAGGCAGCAGUAGGGAAUCUUCCGCAAUGGACGAAAGUCUGACGGAGCAACGCCGCGUGAGCGAUGAAGGCUUUCGGGUCGUAAAACUCUGUUGUUAGGGAAGAACAAGUGCUAGUUGAAUAAGCUGGCACCUUGACGGUACCUAACCAGAAAGCCACGGCUAACUACGUGCCAGCCGCCGCGGUAA
rnacentral:rRNA from 1 species